GGAAGAAGCUCUCUGGGCUGUAGCGGGCUGCCUGCCCCAGGGAGGAGCGAGUCCUCGGGCAGUAGUGAAUGGGGCCCUGCCAGACUAGCCCACGUGAUGGCCAAGGGUUCUGCCCAUUCUUCAGAGUGGAAGCUUGGCUCCGUGAGAGGCCGCCCUUCUGUUCUUGUCCCCUCUGCAGAGCCCGCGCAGUGACCACGGAGGCUCCUGGUCGGCGGCUCUUCCUGAGAGCAAGGGCCCGUGUGUGAGCCCUUGAACCCGAGCCCACUCACCGUGCCCAGCAGUGCCCGCCGGCCCCUCGUGAAGGCAAACAGCAUCACUUCAAACCUCUGCACGCGCUGGGGAAAGAGCUCCACGGCGCGUCCACAGCUCGGAAGACCGUCUGCUGGGCAUCCUCGUGGCUGGGGCAGCUUGGGAAGGAGAAGCGAGUCUCAGGGAAGGCUGUGGGUUCGGAGGCCCAGAAGAGGCCCCUCGGAGCCCACAGUGGGUGCCCCGAGCCGAGCCCUGGAGCCUCCCUCUUCCUGCGUCUCUGGGCCCUGCGCCUGCCCCUGAUGACAUCCCAGCGGGCUGGCUCCCUCCGUCCUGGGACGCGGUAGCCCAGCAGUCCUCUAGGGUCAGCCCUAGCUGGGGGUCCUCCCAGUCCAGAAGCGCCACCCCGAAGGGCAGGGAGGCUCCCAGACAGUUUCGUGACCACGGCAAGGCGUCCAUGGCCCACUUCACACUAGGGGCUGCGUCUCCUCCAGCCGAUACGGAAACGUCACCUUCUCACAGAGGCCAUCGCAACAGGAGGCUGAGGAAGAGGCGGGGAUUGGCAGGAAAGGAAGGUGGGCUUCAGGGCUGGUGCCAGGGGCUGCCUGUCCCAUCUGCUCUUCUCUCUCCUUUGUGCGUCCGCCCCAAAGACAGACUAUCCGGCCGGCCCGCAGCGCUUGUCCUGCAGCACCAACAAGGAGGGGUCCAGGCCGGGGCUGUGACCACCAUGGAGCUGUCGAGCCGAAGCAGGCCCUGGCGUUAAAUGACUGCCCGGAGCCCGCCGCCCGCCUCCGUUGGCCGGACCCCCCCCCCCCAGGAGGUACAAGCACCACGUCCAUCCCGUGAACCUUCUCCAGAUGUGCCCGGGUCACUGCAGCCCUGUGACGCCCUUCCGCACCUCUGGCACCCAGACCAGACUCGGG
rnacentral:lncRNA from 1 species